UUGAACACAUGCUAUGUAAAGUAAGAAUUGCAGCUAGUGCAUCAUCAUUAAAAGGUAAGCGCGAGCAACCACCACUCGGUAGAAAUCAGCUUCACCCCCUAGAGCGCUUCACUGACGUGACUUUACACCAAUAACACAGCGGAGUUUUGGAAACACUACAAACCUCGCAAGUUCGCCUUUUCAGAAAUCAAGUUUAAACAGCGACUUUCCGGACAGCAGCAUUCAAUCAAUGACACAAUGACUUCUCACUCCAAGGUGCAUGCAUGCUUGUUGUUGCCUUGUCAACAGAGGAGGAUUUGGAAGUGGCUGCCCCUGACGACAAACUCCACCCUCCACAAAAUUCUGAACCUUUUAAGGAGGGGGAAUCAGGACAUGCUUCCACCAGCAGGUUUGGCAGUUAGCAGAAGGGUGGAAAGUUGGCUGUGGAAUUCUGAAGGGGAUACCUGGAUAUUUUACAGCUGACUGGAUCAGACCAAACUCCCGAGGCUGUAGAGCACGAAAGACCUUGUGGGCAGCUGUUUCAGGAGAUUCUGGAACCACCACGUCUGGCACCAACAAUCAUACCACUAUCAAGGAACAACAAUUAUACCUCUUUACCAUAUAUGCAUGUUUUAUAGUUUGAAUUGCCGCCACGUGAUUCACUGUUUGGAGAAGCAGGCAAUUUGUUUUAAUGAGCAGGUGUACCUAAUUAAGUGGUUACUGAGUAUCGUUUUAGUGAUAAUUUAAGUAUAUGGUACAUUUAAAUGGUAAAUGUUUAUGAUAUUUGAGUAUCAGCUUGUGGUCAAAUCAAGCAAACAAACCUUUUUGCUUCCAGAUGAAUGUAGCAUAGAAACUUGCAUUCUAUGUUGUUUCUUUUUCAACUAUUAAAAAAGGUUUCAUGGAAUAUGACAUAAAUUUGUUCAUGUGUGAAGACUCCUUGAUAGUUCAAAGUCAAGGUUUAACCAUUGCAUGGUUGUUGCAAUUUGCAAUAUGUGUCUGCACACAAAGCACACAAAGACAAAGGUAUAUAACUGUGACUGCAAAAGCAGACAGAAUCCACAGAUUUUAAGGUUAAGCUUUUAUUUAUUUGGAAACAGCCUGAAACAGAUCAUGGCCCUAUCUUUUGCUGUCAAGACAUAA